AUUGAACGCUGGCGGCAGGCCUAACACAUGCAAGUCGAACGAGUGGCGGACGGGUGAGUAAUGUCUGGGAAACUGCCUGAUGGAGGGGGCUAACUACUGGAAACGGUAGCUAAUACCGCAUACCAUCGGAUGUGCCCAGAUGGGAUUAGCUAGUAGGUGGGGUAAAGGCGCACCUAGGCGACGAUCCCUAGCUUGUCUGAGCGGAUGACCAGCCACACUGGAACUGAGACACGGGCCAGACUCCUACGGGAGGCAGCAGUGGGGAAUAUUGCACAAUGGGCGCAAGCCUGAUGCAGCCAUGCCGCAUGUAUGAAGAAGGCAUUCGGGUUGUAAAGGACUUUCAGCGGGGAGGCGUUACCCGCAGAAGAAGCACCGGCUAACUCCGUGCCAGCAGCCGCGGUAAUUC
rnacentral:rRNA from 1 species